UGUAAAUGGCUGACUCAGAGGAUGAUGAUCAGCACGACAGAGCCUUCUGCCUGUGCGAGUACUAUGUGUUUGUAGGAGAGAUGUUAUAAGGUGACAGUCACCAGUUCAGCUCCACCCCUUGAUCUGUUCACCAGGCAUUAUGGAGACUGGAAAGACCAAGAGAGCAAAUGGAGGAAGGAGCAUAUUAAUUGGCUGAAGGUCACUUCUCCUGUGGGAUCCCCAUCCUGGGAACACGGAGGGGCUGCGGGAAGCGGAGUGGAAUGGAAGGGUCUUCACUCUUAACUUGGACUACAGAAGGCUGCACAUAUUUAGUCUGUGAAGGGAACUUAGGAGUGUGUCCAUCAAGGAGGAGUUACCUGUCUUCACAACCAAGACGAGGACUGAGAGCUGAGAGGCUUCCCUCACUCAGUGCAGUGAGGCUUUCCUUGGCUUCCACAAGCUUCCCUUCAACCAGAAGAUAAUUUCAGAAUUUGGAUAGCAACUAGCACCCACCCACUGCUCACAAGACUUUUUUUCCAUGGAGAGAGUGUGAUGUGAAGCUUGGGAUACCUAUUGUACCUUCAGGAAUCACAAAUCCUGCCCCAGCGCAAAGGUGAGGUUGCCAAGAUGCAAACCAGAGAUGGCUGCAGAAUGAAGUGUAGUAGCCUCAGUGGCAUGAUCUUUUAAUCCUGAUCAGGUAGCAGUUGAGUGAAAACUCCUCUUGUUUUGAUGUGAAGAGCACAGACCCUAUAUCCCACAAAUUGCUGUUGUGAUGAUUUUCUUUACAAGGAAAGACAUCACCUGGAGAAAUGCAGUCACUCAAGGAAGAAAAAUGCCAAGUCAUCUGAAGCUUUGUCUCUCCUGAUUGCAAUCAUAUUUUAUUCUCAAGUAAAGAGAAAUAGGUUUGGCAUGAAGCUAAGAAGCAGUGGAUGUUCAACCUGCGGCUACUGUGGAUAUGGGACUCCAGGACGAUUUUCAAGGUUGCCCCAACACACAGUUGCGCUCCCACUGAGAUAUUUCAUCCUAGAGCUGGAUGGAGCUAUGGGAACUGGCUGGCUCUCCCUCCAUCUGUGAAGCCAGCCAGCUGAAGGGGCCAUGAGCAACGGGGGCACUGCGGGGCAACUUUCCUUGCGUCUCCUACGAGCCAGACCAUGAGGCUGGCAGUUCUCCUUUGACCCUUCGCCUCUGAAGAGCCGUGCCCCUGCCUGUGCUGCAGCUCCCAGGCACAGGCGGCCCGGAGCGCGCCGGGAGCGGGA